ensembl:lncRNA LINC03082 long intergenic non-protein coding RNA 3082
GACCUCGUUCUAAUUAAUUACAUCUGCAAGGACCUUAUUUCCAAAUAAGGUGACAUUCUGAGGUCCUGGGGGUUAGGACUUCAACAUCAUUUUUGGAGAAAACCAUUCGACCUUUGACAAUGCCCAAGUAAAACGGUUUCAUUUUUAGCGAGUGGACGUUCGAGUUCUCUAUUUGAGGCAUUUUUCUCAAGGAUUUCUAACAAUAGCUCACGUUAUAGGUUGCGUUUAUUUUUCACCAUAAUGAUUUUUAAAAUGUCAAAGCCUUGGCCCAACGACAUGGGACUAAGCCAGUGGAUCACAAACAUCCUGGAGAGCAGUGACUCUGUGAUUCCAUCACAAGAAUAUGAAGGACUGAGAAGAUCUCCAGCUCUGCCCAUUGCACCUUCCCAUUGAGAAGCAGCAUGGCACCCUGGUGGCAGGGGCUGAUACUCAGCCGGGCCAGGGUGCUCUCCUGUUAACCAUAACCAAGCUCACAGGACAUGGGAUGAGCCCACUGUGUGACACAGGGAGCGGGACACAGUCUGUUAAGUCUUGCACAGCCAUGCUCUGCCACGCAGGCAGGCCUUUCCUUGGCCUCCCUCUCCCUGUUCGUGCUCAUGUGAACAUCCACCUACGUGGAUAGACUGGGCUUUGGUUCAUUAUUGCUCUGUGAAUUCCUCGAACUUCCGCAUCUGCCCAACCUCCCCCACCCCAUUGUUUUCAUUGUGUUUCACCAAAUGGAAAUUCUAGAGUAAGCAUGUGAGUCCUCUCCCAAACUUGUUCACUGUUGAGAGUGCUAAAAUGCUAACCCCAGAUGCUAACUGAGGGGUAGGGUUACCUUAUCUUUAGAGCACUGCGAAUUGUAUGUUAAGUGGAACUUAAUGAAAAAAUAGUUAAUUGACCAACAUGAAUAUCCCCUGAACAGAAUCUCCCCUGAACAGAAUCCUACAAUGAAACUAAGGGAGAUAAAUAAAGCUGUUU